rnacentral:lncRNA from 1 species
CCUCCCCUGAGCUUCGGAUUAGUACACAAAGUACCCUAACGUUUGAAAAUUAUAAUGAUCUUCCCCUGAAUUUGAAACUUGUAACAUGAUUCUCCCAUUUUAUAAUGACCCACCCUUGAAGGUUCCGGGUUAAUACCCAAAGCACUCCUGAUGUCAAAAUCACACUUUUAUAAAAAAGACAAAAGAAAGUAUUUUGUCAGGGGGCGUUGUGUACUAACUCAUAACCCUCAGGGUGGUCAGUGUAAAAUGAGAAAAUCUGUUAUAAAGUUUCCAAACCUCAGGGGAAGUCAUUGUAAUUUUUUUUUAUUAAACGGUAGGGGUACUUUUGUAUUUAACCUAAAAACCUCAGGGGAGGUCAGUGUAAUUUACCUAAAAAAAACCUGGUCUGCUAAAUUAACAUAUUCCAACUAGCUUGACACGUUUGCAAGCUACUAACCUUGCAACAACCAACAUCAUCAAACAAUUUCAUCUAAAACACAACUCAGAAACAUCAGCCUAACAAAAGAGGAAGAAGAAGACCAAAAGGAGGACACCAUAGCAUGCACUGAGGCCACACCAUCCAUGAGAGAAUUGACAGUGAAGAAGGAGAAUCGAAUCGAAUUGAACAUAAAAUUAGAUCGGUUUUUAAUAUAAAUCGAUAGUAAUGUUUCUCAAAAUUGAUAACAAGAAUCGAACUGUCAGCAUAUGAGGCCCGAGCUAUUACUAUUUACAAAAAUCAAACCAUCCAAAAAUGCAAAGCCAAAUUUACACAUCUAAUUAUGAAAAUGCCAAAAUAACAUACUAUUUAAAUGUACAUGAUUUUGCUUUCUUUAAAGACAAAAAGAUCCUAGUACACAAGAACAACGUUUCCAAAAAAACUUCAAAAGAAAAAUGUCAUGGUCAUGGUGAGGAGUUCGGAUACUCUGCAGUAAGUAUUUGGUGAAGUGAUUCUAAAGUGUACAAAACGAUAUCAAACUUCAAAAGAUCCAGGUCCCAUGGUGAUGUUCACUAAAAAGGCCUAUAGGUUAGGUUUAGGGUUGGGUAGGUAAAUUGUGCAGCUGAUAAUAGUCCACGACCCAAUCUGACUAUAAACCCAAUUGGCAUGCCAUAAUAGUUUGGUGAUUGCAUUAAUUGAUGAUGGCCCAUUAUAUUAAUUAGCUAGUUGGAUUUCAUGAUCAUGGUCAUCUUUUGCCACCGCUCUAAAAAUAAAAAAAUUACUACUAUUAUAAAUUUUUUUAACUCUGUUUAAAUCUUGAAUUUGUUAUGUUAAAAAAGUAAAAGAUUAGUAAAUAUUACUGUCAUUUGUGAUUGAUUGUUUUAUUAGGUUUACAAGUUGGCUCUACUACAAUGAAAGAACUGUAUCGAUAAAUGUGAAUAACAUUAUCUGUACCUUUUAUAUAAGAUCUUGAACAAAGAGAAAAUUAGGGGUUGUGUAUUAUAAGAGAGAUCCAAGCUAAGGUGGUUAUUCCACGACUAAGCGAGUUAUUUCCAAAGUCGCAUGUUCAAAUCGCUUUGUCAGUAAUUGUUGGAAUUAGUUCAUAUGGUUUUAAUUGAACCUCUAAUAGUGGCCGGUGAGAUUGAUAUUCAAAUUAAUCGAUUUUUUGGACCGAAUACCGAGUUACAAGUAUAAAAGAAGGAUGGUUACUAUUGCUAGGGUCUUAUGGCCCAUUAAUUGGCUCACUUUAGGGUUGAAUUUAAUGUACUUUAAGUCUCCACUUAGUAAUCCACUAAAUUUUGUUGAGCUUGAGUUUUGUGUACUCUAUAAAAGUCUAUUCCAUCCUAUAUAUGCCAUAGCUCUCUAACUCUACAAAAUACAUUUAUGGUUGUGCAAGUAUGUGCUCAAUGUAGCUUUAUUGUCAAUUUAAUCUUUAAAAUUUUAAUUUGACUAAGUUAUGAAGGAGAAUAUUAAUUAACAUAUAAAAAUAAUCCCUAAAAUAUGUGUUUCGUGUCAUUUUUAUCCCAAAGAUUAACUAUAUUAUUUUCCUCUAAGCAUCAUUGGCUACCGUUGGAUUGAACAUUAAUACUUCUGUUUUAAUUUUGGAGUGUUAUAUAUAUAUAUAUAUAUUAUAUAUAUAUAUAUAUAUAAUGCUAUAUCUUAUUCUCUCCACACUAGUUUUCUUUUUUUGUGCAUAUCCACACCCCUCCCCCUCUCUUACACUCUCUCUGCCUCACUCAAAAUCGAAUCAGCAAUUGAUAUCAGAGAACAAUAAUAUAUAUAUAUAUAUAUAUAUUAUAUAUAUAUUGAACUGAAGUAAUCAGGUUUGGUACAAGCAUGCCGUGGUGCCACCCACCAGUCCCUAAACCUAACUCAUCUCUUCAAUGAUUUUCAAACACGUAUGUGUGAUGUUAUGUACGACAAAUUAUUCACAUCCAUAUAAUAAUACAUACAUGAAGUCUUGUUUGUUUGUGAUGCAAAUUAUCCAUUCCUUGCACACACCAUGACAUAGAAAUCGGCCUUUUCUCCUUCGUGCCCCGUUUAACUUUCACCUAUCUUUUUAUCAAUUUUUUAGCUACUUCGAUU